rnacentral:tRNA from 1 species
GGUGAGGUGCUGGAGCGGUUUAACAGGCCGGUCUCGAAAACCGGAGUACCCGAAAGGGUACCGUGGGUUCGAAUCCCACCCUCACCGCCA